AGCGGCAAAAGCUCAAAUUUGAAAUCUGGCACUUUCAGUGUCCGAGUUGUAAUUUGAAGAAGGUAUCUUUGGGUCUGGCUCUUGUCUAUGUUUCUUGGAACAGAACGUCACAGAGGGUGAGAAUCCCGUGCGAUGAGAUGUCCCAGUCCUAUGUAAAGUUCCUUCGAAGAGUGGAGUUGUUUGGGAAUGCAGCUUUAAGUGGGUGGUAAAUUCCAUUUAAAGUUAAAUAUUGGGGAGAGCCCGAUAGCGACCAAGUCCAGUGAUGGAAAGAUGAAAAGACCUUUGAAAAGAGAGUGAAAAAGUACGUGAAAUUGUUGAAAGGGAAGGGCUUGAGAUCAGACUUGGUAUUUUGUAUGUUACUCUUUCGGGGGUGGCCUCUACAGUUUACCGGGCCAGCAUCAGUUUGGGCGGUAGGACAAUUGCAAAGAAAUGUGGCCCUGCCUCGGUAGUGUGUUAUAGUCUUGUCGAUACUGCCAGCCUAUACUGAGGACU
rnacentral:rRNA from 1 species